UGCUUGGGUAGCUCAGUUGGUAGAGCACUUGCCCGUGAAAGGCAAAGGUCCCGAGUUCGAGUCUCGGCCCAGCAC
rnacentral:tRNA from 1 species